UCCAGCAAUGCCGCGUGUGUGAAGAAGGCCUUCGGGUUGUAAAGCACUUUUGUCCGGAAAGAAAUCCUUGGCUCUAAUACAGCCGGGGGAUGACGGUACCGGAAGAAUAAGCACCGGCUAACUACGUGCCAGCAGCCGCGGUAAUACGUAGGGUGCGAGCGUUAAUCGGAAUUACUGGGCGUAAAGCGUGCGCAGGCGGUUUGCUAAGACCGAUGUGAAAUCCCCGGGCUCAACCUGGGAACUGCAUUGGUGACUGGCAGGCUAGAGUAUGGCAGAGGGGGGUAGAAUUCCACGUGUAGCAGUGAAAUGCGUAGAGAUGUGGAGGAAUACCGAUGGCGAAGGCAGCCCCCUGGGCCAAUACUGACGCUCAUGCACGAAAGCGUGGGGAGCAAACAGGAUUAGAUACCCUGGUAGUCCACGCCCUAAACGAUGUCAACUAGUUGUUGGGGAUUCAUUUCCUUAGUAACGUAGCUAACGCGUGAAGUUGACCGCCUGGGGAGUACGGUCGCAAGAUUAAAACUCAAAGGAAUUGACGGGGACCCGCACAAGCGGUGGAUGAUGUGGAUUAAUUCGAUGCAACGCGAAAAACCUUACCUACCCUUGACAUGGUCGGAAUGCUGCUGAGA
rnacentral:rRNA from 1 species